rnacentral:piRNA from 1 species
UUGCUUUUCCGCGUCCUUGUA